rnacentral:rRNA from 1 species
AGCGAACGCUGGCGGCGUGCCUAACACAUGCCAGUCGAACGUGAAAGGGAGCAAUCCCAAGUAAAGUGGCGUACGGGUGAGUAACACGUAGGUAAUCUACCCCAGAAUCUGGAAUAACCGGCCGAAAGGCUGGCUAAUACUGGAUAGAGCGACGGAAUCCGUAAUUGGGUUUUUCGGGAUAGGGAGCCUGUAAAAAGGCCUUCGUUCUGGGAUGAGCCUGCGUCCCAUCAGCUAGUUGGUGAGGUAAAAGCUUACCAAGGCAAUGACGGGUAGCUGGUCUGAGAGGACGAUCAGCCACACUGGAACUGAAACACGGUCCAGACUCCUACGGGAGGCAGCAGUGGGGAAUCUUGCGCAAUGGACGAAAGUCUGACGCAGCAACGCCGCGUGAGUGAAGAAGGCCUUCGGGUUGUAAAGCUCUGUCGAGUGGGACGAAAAUGCUUGGAGUUCACAGCUCCAGGAACUGACGGUACCACUAAAGGAAGCACCGGCUAACUCCGUG